CGGAAUUGAUUGGUAUCACUACCAGAAAGCAAAGCCAGUGGUGCCUCAGCAAGCAUGUUCUGAAGGUGACCGUGUCAAGAUUUUGCUUGAAGUGAUACAUUUGUCAGUUGCAUUGUGCCAACGUUUUCGAGGCAUGGAUUCAUUUAUAUGAUUUCGAUGGGCUUUUGUUUUGGUGAGUGCAAUGGAGUUGGUAUCGCUACCAGAAGCAAAACCAGUGGUGGCUCAGCUUGGGUUGGAGAUGAAUGCUGUGUGGAGAAGAAGAACAAGUAUGGAAGAGUUGAUUUUGAGGUGGCACUGUAGCAGUAAUGGUGGUGGGGAAGUAGUAGCAAGUGUUUGCAAUAAUUAAACUAGUGAUUUUUUGUUACAAGAAUCAUGUGUCACUCCACUAGAUUAUCUUUUGAGACUUUUUUCUUUUCUUUUUUAAUCCAUGUGUAUUGCAAAUUUGUGCUCCUUUGAAGUUAUUGAGAAUUUGACCUCAUUGAAAUAUUUA